UUAAGUGUUAGGGACGGUGAAAUGACAACCAACCAUGUAAACUCUAAUAAGCAAUAAACUUAUUUAUUCAUAUAUUAAAGUGUUCAUUUGGAAAAUCCGAGGGGACAAAGUUCAUGGGAAUUUGUAUUAUAAUUAAGGACUGUGCGGUGACGUGGAACGAUAUACCCUAUACAUGUGCAGGAGUUUUCGGUUAAAUAAUAGAUCUUUUAUUUGGCUCUUGUUCUUUGAGGGUUUGUAAAGUAAAACUUUUAGCAGUGAAUGUAAAGCGGUAUUACUGUUCGAACCCGGAGCAUUAUCAUUACAUUUAUUGAACAUGUAAAUUACAACCUCGGCAUGUAGCAGGGAUACUUUCUUAGCUAUACUCAUUACAGUGAAAUUAAAAGCAAAGAUGGGUGUUCGACUUUCAUCAAAAUGGGAUUUUAAACAAUAGCUGAUGCAGUUUACAAGGAUGAUUUAUACAAGAACAAGAGGAUUAUUGGCAAUAUUUAUUUAUCUAGUGCAAUAUGUAUCAUGUUGUAGUGAUAAUAUCAUUCUAACUGACGUCAUACCAUCUAGUCAUAUUACGUCACCAAACUAUGGUACUAAUAAAACCUAUCCACUUAAUACAUAUUGUCAAUGGAACAUUUCUUCAACCA